AACUGAACUGAAAUGACUUCAAACAACAUUAAAUUCCCCGUGUACAUAGCAUGUAAACGUUAUUGUGACCUCUUUCAAGUAUAUUGGAUUUGGAAGAUCAUUGUCAUAUUUGUCGAAUGGAUUUUUAUUUUAUUUGUGUAAACGACUUCUAUUUAAACAGCAAUUUCUAUCGAGUUACGAAUUGCUAGAUUGCGGACGUUAGGAGAAUUACCCUGUUUGUAAAAACGCUUUCGUUUAUUUUACACUUGAUACUAAAUAUAUCGAGCGUUCGGGCCCUGGCAGAGUGUCUCGCAUUUCUAUCUUACCGAGAGAAAGACUGCACAGGAGGCCGCCAUCACAGCUGUUACUGUGUCCUAGGGAAAAAAACCGAAGAACAGUAGCAGAUAUCAUCUUAACUGACGACACAGUUGACAAGCAGAAACAGGCAUCCAAAGAUCUAGCCCAAGACCUUCAGCUGUGAUCGAAGUCCUCUUCUAUAUGGUGAUUGCUUAUUUAUACAAAGUGUCAUCGUGCACGGAUCUGUUUGAUCUGCCGCUAACUCGGGCGCUAAUCUUCUCUUCCUUGAAAGCUUCUCACUGGAUGUAUUCUCACAAGGUAAGGCUAUGUGGUCAUGAAUCUUUUCCUGAAUUACAUCAAAGAUAAUGGUUAACAAAUCGUUAAUGCAUGCUAAGGAUUA